ensembl:lncRNA
GUUCCACCUUGCUGUCGGGCCAGCGCUGGCCCCAGAGUUCAGUGCUCCAGACUGACCUCGUCGUUCUUCCGGGCUUGAAGCCUAGGAACUGUCGUCCACUGCUGCCUCUCCCUCGGCACAUUCACAGAACACAGCGUUCCUUCUCAGGAUGAUUCCAUCCCCGGGGAGCCAGUCCAUGGCCUUGGCUUUCAGAGCAGUGGCAUUAACUGAGACAACUGCGUAAGAAGAACACCCAUGAGGAAAAGAAUCAACAGUUUAGACAAGGCUCGGGCUUCCCAGGUAGUGCUGGUGGUAAAGAACCCACCUGCCAAUGCAGUUGACUUAAGAGAUACAGGUUCGGUGCCUGGAGGAGGAAAUGGCAACUCACUCCAAUAUUCUUGCCUGGGAAAUCCCAUGGACAGAGAAGCCUGGCAGGACACGACUGAAGCGACUUGGCAAGUAUGGAG